rnacentral:rRNA from 1 species
AGAGUUUGAUCCUGGCUCAGAGUGAACGCUGGCGGCGUGCCUAACACAUGCAAGUCGAACGAGAACGGAUUACAGCUUGCUGUAAUUGUCAGCUAAGUGGCGCACGGGUGAGUAAUAUAUAGUUAAUCUGCCCCAAAGAAGAGAAUAAUUGUUGGAAACGACUUGUAAUGCUCUAUAUGCCUUUAAGACAUAAGUCUGCAAGGGAAAUAUUUAUAGCUUUGGGAUGAGACUGUACGGUAUCAGCUAGUUGGUGAGGUAAUGGCUCACCAAGGCUAUGACAUCUAACUGGUUUGAGAGGAUGAUCAGUCACACUGGAACUGAGACACGGUCCAGACUCCUACGGGAGGCAGCAGUGGGGAAUAUUGCACAAUGGAGGAAACUCUGAUGCAGCAACGCCGCGUGGAGGAUGACACAUUUCGGUGCGUAAACUCCUUUUAUAUGAGAAGAUAAUGACGGUA